GUAACUUCUCGUGCCCUCAAUGCGGGUUCACCAAAACCAUAGCAUGUUGCAGAUGUUACAUAGGUCAUGUAAGUGCAUCUCCACAGUUGAUUUACAUCCUCCACCAGGGUUCGAGGUGAGAGGACACAAUGUCGUCAUCCCAGUCGAGCUGGUGUUGUCAAAAUAACCGGCAGUGUGCUGACCUACAGCUUCUGUACCGAGCUGAAGGACAGCUGUUUACUGACCACAUGAAUCAAACUUUACAAAGCUGAGGGAGUGAGUCAAUAGCUGCAUCGCCAAACUAUGACGGGCCAAGCUGCUGGUACGUGACAAGCAGUUGCCAUUAGGGGAAGUCCACGAGAACUGUCGUACAAAAUGAUGGUCUGCAGCCCUGAUCGGUGGUUAUAUGCAAACCGGAUAGUUGAUUUUAUGUUCUGCUUCUUGACGAAUCAAAUUUACAUGCGGAUCGAUGGGCAAAAGAGGAGGACACGCUCAACAUGUUCGUCCACAACCCUGCACUUCGACUUUUGUCGGAAUUCAAUCAGCAUAUCUUUCCCCAUAACAAUCACCUACUUUUCGAAGGCCUACGGGGUUAGAAACAAAGAACAGACCCUGCGGAAAAGAGACAAGGGACACAGAAGGAGCAAACAUGUGAAAAAAAAUAUUUCCCCCGCACCGGGGUAAAAUGAGCAGUUACAUAAUGCCAUAAUGUCUUGGAUGGUUCUCGCUUGCUACAGAUUGCUCAUUAUCUUGCAAUAACAACGUG
ensembl:lncRNA